CAGUGCAAUGUAAAAAGGGCAUUG
rnacentral:miRNA from 1 species